CCCUACGGGAGGCAGCAGUGAGGAAUAUUGGUCAAUGGGCGCGAGCCUGAACCAGCCAAGUAGCGUGAAGGAUGACUGCCCUACGGGUUGUAAACUUCUUUUAUAAAGGACUAAAGUGAGGCACGUGUGCCUUUUUGUAGGUACUUUAUGAAUAAGGAUCGGCUAACUCCGUGCCAGCAGCCGCGGUAAUACGGAGGAUCCGAGCGUUAUUCGGAUUUAUUGGGUUUAAAGGGAGCGUAGAUGGUGUGUUAAGUCAGUUGUGAAAGUUUGCGGCUCAACCGUAAAACUGCAAUUGAUACGGGCAGGCUUGAGUACAGUUGAGUUAGGCGGAAUUCGUGGUGUAGCGGUGAAAUGCUUAGAUAU
rnacentral:rRNA from 1 species